rnacentral:sRNA from 1 species
ACGGCGGCGGCGGCUCAUGCGCCGCCGCGCGCGCGCGCGAGCCGCUAGCUAGUAGAACUGCACGCCGCUGGUGAAUGUCUGGCCGAACUGCCAGUUGGACGGCGCGACGUCCUCGAAGACGAGCGUCUUGCCGGCGGUGGAGGUGACCGAGAAGGAGAUGGCCUGGUUGUUGAGGUAGUUGUUGGCUUGCCAGUUGGCGCCCCAGUUCCGGGACAUGGUCACCCACCCCGUCUUUGUUCCCUUGAUCUGCACCGACUUGAUCGACCCCGGCCCGCCCACGUUGGUGAUCAGCACCAGCUCGAAGUAGCUGUUCCCGUUGAUGGUGAACCUCACCCCUCCUUUCCUCGUGCACGACACCCUGCGGAAAUUGACGGGGACGAUACCGCCGCGGUAGACGCCGAUCUGUUCCCAGGCGGGUUGCGCCAUGUCGAAGUGCUGGCGCGGCGGGUUGCACCAGCCGCCGUCGUUGCUCGGCUUGGAGUAGUCCGGUGGGCAGAGGUUGGUCGCGGUGAUGGUCACCGACGUGCCCGCCUUGCACCACUUCGAGUUGGACUGGUCGCACGUGAUCUGGUAGCACUCGCCGCACGCCGCGCCGUCGUUGAACAGCGCCGAGCUCAGCGCCGCCGUGUUCGUCCCG